rnacentral:rRNA from 1 species
UACGUAGGGUGCAAGCGUUAAUCGGAAUUACUGGGCGUAAAGCGUGCGCAGGCGGCUUUGCAAGACAGAUGUGAAAUCCCCGGGCUCAACCUGGGAACUGCAUUUGGGACUGCAAGGCUUGAGUACGGCAGAGGGGGGUAGAAUUCCUGGUGUAGCAGUGAAAUGCGUAGAUAUCAGGAGGAAUACCGAUGGCGAAGGCAGCCCCCUGGGUCGAUACUGACGCUCAUGCACGAAAGCGUGGGGAGCAAACAGG